rnacentral:rRNA from 1 species
UAGAGAGAGACAUGCGCGCAUAUCAAUAAGCGGAGGAAAAGAAACUAACAAGGAUUCCCUUAGUAACGGCGAGUGAAGCGGGAAGAGCUCAAAUUUGAAAUCUUCAAGGUUUUACCUUGACGAAUUGUAGUUUAAAGAAGUGUUUUCUGCUGAAGUUUUGGUAAAAGUUCUUUGGAAUAGGACAUCAUAGAGGGUGAGGAAUCCCGUAUUUGACCAUUAUUUUCAGCUUUGUGAUACACUUUCAAAGAGUCGGAUUGUUUGGGAAUGCAGUCCAAAAUGGGUGGUAAAUUUCAUCUAAAGCUAAAUAUUGGCGAGAGACCGAUAGCGAACAAGUACCGUGAGGGAAAGAUGAAAAGAACUUUGAAAAGAGAGUUAAACAGUACGUGAAAUUGUCAAAAGGGAAGCGUUUGACACCAGUGUUGUUUUCUCGAAAAUCAAUUAAAAAUGGCUCGAUUUUGUAUUGUUGAGACCUUAAAAGCUCACUGUACAUUUUUCGUGUCUUUUUUAAUGCACUUUUCGUUUAACAAGUCAACAUCAGUUUCUUUUGUUGUAAAAGGGUCAUUGGAAGGUGGCUUUCUUUUCCGGAGAAAGUGUUUAUAGCCUUUGGCCUCUGCAAUCGAAGAGACUGAGGUCUGCAGCGUAGACUCUUCGGGGUUAGAUACAUUUGUGCUAAGUUAUAGCUUUUAUAGACGACUUGUUGACUAUAAUUAGUCUUGUAGCUUACUCGCUUAUGCUAUUUUACCUACGCUUAGGAUGUUGAAGUCAUCGUAUCGCGC